rnacentral:rRNA from 1 species
CCUACGGGAGGCAGCAGUGAGGAAUAUUGGUCAAUGGGCGGGAGCCUGAACCAGCCAAGUCGCGUGCGGGAAGAAGGUCCUAUGGAUUGUAAACCUCUUUUGCCGGGGAGCAAAAGACGCCACGCGUGGCGGUCUGCAGGUACCCGAAGAAACAGCAUCGGCUAACUCCGUGCCAGCAGCCGCGGUAAUACGGAGGGUCCGAGCGUUAUCCGGAUUUAUUGGGGUUAAAGGGUGCGAAGGCGGACGGUCAAGUCAGCGGUAAAAUCGCGGGGCGCAACCUCGUACCGCCGUUGGAACGGGACGUCUUGAGUGCAGGACAGGCAGGCGGAAUUCGUGGUGUAGCGGUGAAAGGCGUAGAUAGCACGAGGAACCCCGAUUGCGAAGGCGGCCUGCCGGGGUGCAACUGACGCUGAGGCUCGAAGGUGCGGGUAUCAAACAGGAUUAGAUACCCCUGUAGUC